UCCUACGGGAGGCAGCAGUGGGGAAUAUUGCACAAUGGGGGAAACCCUGAUGCAGCGACGCCGCGUGAGUGAAGAAGUAUUUCGGUAUGUAAAGCUCUAUCAGCAGGGAAGAAAAUGACGGUACCUGACUAAGAAGCCCCGGCUAACUACGUGCCAGCAGCCGCGGUAAUA
rnacentral:rRNA from 1 species